ACCGUCCGGCGCUGACGUCAGCCGGCUCCUCGGCUUGGGGAAGCGUUUCCCUGGCAUAUGGCAGCAUAUGGGGACAUAGCCAGAGACGUUUCUUAGCGUUAUCUCAUGUACUCCAGUCAGGCAGCGCAUCAGACAUGAUUAAGACUUAAGCUCUGGGCCGGGCACUGUGCUAAAUGCUAGGGUCCAAAAAACAAAUAAUUAAAUAAAGGCAAAAGACGGGAGAGACAACGGCAAACACAACUAUGUGCAAACGAGAUAUAAGCACCGUAACAGAUGUGUGCUGACACAGACAGGAGGUUAAAUAAACUCUUCAAGAUCACGUACCCUGCCAAGUAAGAACACGAACAACACAGGGGUCUAUCAGUCUUCAUUUAGCUCAUGCUAUCCAGCAAAACUGUAAAGUUUAGACUAAUGGACUGAGCUUUGGAAAUAACACUCCAUGACCCCUGCUAGCACAGUAUAUGGCUAAAAGAUAGAAUACCAUAUGUUAAGUGGAUCAGAUGUUAAAGUCCAAAGAAAUGCUACGUUGGUAGGUGGAAAGCUGAAUGCAUGUUUGUACUGUUAGCAAUAAUAAAACUAUUAUUUCAUUCAGA